CCCUUAGAUGUUCUGGGCUGCACCCGUGCUACACUGGCAGGUUCGGCGAGCUUCAUGCCCUGAUCUGAAAGGAAUGGGAAAUCUUUUCAAAACCUGCCGUGCUUGGGAUAGAUGUUUGCAAUUAUUCAUCUUCAACGAGGAUUGCCUUGUAAGCGCACGUCAUCAGCGUGCAUUGAAUACGACCCUGUAUUCUGUACACACCGCCCGUCGCUCCUACCGAUUGAAGUUUUCGGUGAGUUGACAGGAGGAUUUUUUUGAAACUGGUUCGCCAGUGGAUUUUAGAUCCAAAUGCCAACGAAUCGAUGGCUUUAGAGGAAGGAGAAGUCGUAACA
rnacentral:rRNA from 1 species